ensembl:lncRNA
GCCACUCCCUAUUAUCUUCCUCAGAUAAGAUAGUUAUGGUUUUGAAUUCUAAGUAUAACGAUACUGGAUUACAAGAACACAUUCCUGGGGCCGGGGAUUUAGCUCAGUGAUUUCGCUGCCUGCUGCGCAAGCGCAAGGACCCAAGUUCGAUCCCGGUAACAAAAAAAAAAAAAAAAGAACACAUUCCUUACUUAUUUCACUCUUCAGCAUUACCUGUCUGCCCAGUUGGCAUCUAAGUAGAAUAUAGUGAACUCUCACUGAUUACUAGAUUCUAAUCACCACGUAACUACCAGCAUCACCAGACACCAUUUAGGCAUCCACUUUCAGUAAGAAUAAAACAAAACAAAACAACUAGUUUUCUCUCAUUACAUUCCUAGUGCUCUUGAAAUAAAACCUGCAUCAGGCUCCUAAGGCCAUCAUCCAAAGCCCAUGGACUUUCCCUUGAGAUCAAACACAUGCUGUUAGGGCUCUGAGUCUCACUUUCAGGCUCUCUGUCAUCUCCUGACUCUUCCAGGGGACAUAAAAACAAUACCCUCAUACACCAGUUCCACCGAAAAGAUUUUCUUUAUUGUUGUUAUUACUGAAGCAUUGAUAUCCUUAUAUUUUAUAUCUAUAUGUACAGAUUUUACAUGUCCUAUACUUUACACAAUAUACACAUGCAUAUGCACACACGAUUUUGACAUAUCACAGUAAAAAAUUUAGAUGUGAUACUAGUCUAUAGCUCAAUUUAAGAUAGAAAGCCAUAGCCUAAAUGUGCUGGCUUUGUUUCCCAGCAUCUCAGUUUUCUUUACAAUUUGAGAAAGUACUAUUUGAGUAUUUAUUAUUAUUAUUUGAGUAUUAUUAUUACUUGAGGCAUAAUAAUAUUAAUCUUUAAUGGCCUUUACUCUACUGAACAUGCCUAUGUACCCAUUCCCACUGAAAUUUCCCUUCUAGCCACACAUAGUCAUUACCCUGAUUUAAUGUAAAGGCAACUGAGGCCCAUAUGAAGUGACCUCCUCAAGCCAUUCAGGUGUUAGAGUGGAGUCAGAAAAAACAAAGCCUUGGCUGGUAGCCCUGGGCUCUUUCUGAGAAUCCACAAGAACUGAGUGAAUAUUUCAAACAUAUUUUCUGAAUGAAAAAACUCCCCAUAGUCUCUGGCAGUUAGUACCUAAGAAGAUAAAGCAGAGUAUUAAAAAUCCAUGUACACUCUAGUGAAAAUGUCCAGACUUUGUUGGAGUGAGAGGCUCAAAGCACCUGUCAAGGUACGCUAUAAUGAGAAAUGAUCAUGACUGGAAUGUUCUCCUUUAUCUCACCAGCUCUAUAACCCAAAUUUUAUCAAAGACUUCAGGCCUGAAGAGCUCAGACCGCAUUUUGUCAUUAAUAUUCACCACCAUACCCUUUAAGGGUAUGGGUAUGUGUUAUUAGCAUCACAUUUCAGAUGAAAAUACACCAUGAAAAGAACCAUAGCAUUUGUGCCUGGCUUAAGGAUUCAGAGACUGCUUCCUUUUAGAACCAUCUCUUAUGUCUGAUUCAGCUUUGCCCUCCUGUAGGAAACAACACAGAUAAACCAAGUGGGAUGCUCUUUUCAGCCUAAUGUCCCCAGUGUCAAAGUCUGACUAAAAUAAUAAGAUCAAAGCCCUAGGACUAUGAUGAAAAUGAAAGUCCGUGAUGGAGCAAGAUUGGCAAAGAAGCUAUUAUGUAUUGGCCUAGAUACUCAAAUGUCCUUUGAAAAAUAUUAAAAAUACAGAUGUCUAUUAUUAUAUAAUAGCAUUAAGACCUAAACCUCAGCCAUCUUUAGAAAUCCAAGCAAUGGUCACCCAAGAGCUAGGCUUUCAAUAUUUUCCCUCUUUUCUUUUUUUCUGGUACUGAGCUACAUACCCCCGCCCCUUUUUUUGAGACAGGUCUUGCUAAAUUACCCAAUUGUCCAGAACUUAUGAUCUGCUGCAUCACAUUUGAUUCUAUUGUGACCAUUUAGCAUGAUCUUGAACAUACAAGCUGUAAUUUCACAGCUUCAAACACUUUACUGUGUCUAUGAAAUCUACAUUUUUUUUAAAAAGCCGGUCACUGACACCUGACAUGAACCACACCAACACUCACUGAAAAGACUGUAAGAAGUGUCAUCCUGGGUAAGUCAGUGGUGCAUCUGAUCGAGAAUUCUGUCACUGUUAUCUGAAACACUCAUGGGAGGGCAUGAGCUCUUAAAACUAAUGUUGCACUUCUAAGAACUUUGCCUCAUCAAUACAAAAAUCACAUAAAAUCAUUCAUUGCAGUGAUAUUUGUAAUCACAGAACCUGGGAACAAACUAAAUGGUUAUUAAUAAGCAACUGGUUGAACAGACUGUGGCACAGCCAUACAAUAGACUAUCAUUCAGCUAAAAAAAAUAAGAUCUUUAUGCAACAAUAAGGAAGAUUCCAAGGAUAUAUUGGUAAGUAAAUUAAAUAAUAUAUAUACACUCGAAUGUCCAUAGGAUGCCGCUAUCAUUCAAAAGCUAUGGGAUGGAUAUUUUUCAGACAUUUUGCACAUACUUACUGUGCAUCUUCUACAUCCCAGAAACUGUUCUAGCUACUGGGGACAUGGCAGUAAAGAAGAAAAUAGACCAAACUCCUAGCCUUCCAGAAGCUUAUUCUCAUUUUCUCAUGCCAGGAUACUCGUGUCUGAGGCCCCCUGACAAUUCUGUCUGUCUCAUUUGGGAUCUCUCAUGUAUACUUAGUCAGACAGCUGCUGGAGCUGGAGCCAACUAAAAAAUUAAUUAGAAUGCAUACACCUGUUACAGAGAACGCCAGAUGUUAAUCAGCAGAUGUUCCUGGGGCUCACAAAGAAAAACAGGCAGUUUGGAUUUCAGGUCAGAUCUUCACAAAUUCCCCUCCUCCCAGGGUUCAGGAAUGAGCACAGCCAUGAGUACUAUCACCACCAACAACUGCACCGACCCCUUACUCCCAUUGCUGUCAAAACCUAAGGAUACAAAAUCCAAGGAUGAAGCAAAAGGCAAACGUGAAUAAUCAUUCCAACCAAGUUGAUCCUGACAUGGAGCAGAGGUAACUGGGAACCUCAGAAGGAGAACUACAGGGCUAUGUGGGGAAGCAGCCUGCAUGCCCAAGCACCUGGUUCUCACUGCCACACAUACAGUGCAGCCAACUUUCAAGACUCAGCAAUGGCAAAGAGCAGAUUAUAUCCUUAUGUUGUAUACAAUUGAGAAAAUUGAGGACUAUACAAGAAGAUAUUUUUGGUAUAUUUAAAACUUCACAAUAGAAGCAUGAGAUUUUGAGCCAGAAAAAUUUCACUCUCUUAAAAUCUAGUGUGGCCUAUCACCCAAAAGAGAUGAAGUUUUUACCAUUGAAUCUGAAUAUGUCUCAAUGGCCUGCAGGGAAUACAAUUUUCUGGAAAACAGACCUGGCCUCUGCCCAUGUGGAGCUUCUAUUUCACUGGGAAAGAGAGUCAUUGAGUAAAUAAUUACAUAAACAACAGUAAUAGUAAAAACUGUACUCUUCUAACAGAGAGAUUCAUGGUGUUGUAAGGGUGUAACAGGAAAACUUGAUGUAGUCUGGAAAGGGGAACAGGAAAGGUGUCCAUACAGGAAUUGACAUGUGAUCUAAGAACUGAAGAUGAAUUCAGCAGACUGGAGGGCUGAAAGCAUAUCAGACAGCAAAAAUAGCAUGUGUAAAAUUCUUGCAGUGGAAUAAAGAUGUUCAAAUAAAAGAAGGCCUGAGUAUAAAAAGCAAGGGGAAAGGAGCCCAGAUAAGCAUGGUUUCUCCAGGUAGAGGCCAGACUUCACAGAGUCUUAUGCUAAAUGCAUUGUUCUCUAAGAACAAUGAGAACAAUUAAAAGAAUGAAGGGGAGGCUUGUAGGUUCAUAGUUGCAUUUAGAAAAGAUCUCUUAGACUGCAGUGAAAGAUGGAACAAUAGAGCAGAUGAAGAGGAACAAUCCAGAUGUGAGGAGACCAGUCAGGGUUCUUAAUGGUUAAUUUUAUGUCAAUUUGACUGGGCUGAGAUAAUCAAAUAGCUGGUAAAACACUACUUCUGAGUGCAUCUGUGAGGAUGUUUCUAGAAGAGAUUAACAUUUGAGUUGGUAAACUGAAUAAUGAAGAUCACCCUCACCGUGUGAGUGAGCAUUAACUGUUUCAGUCCAUUGAGCCAACAGAACAAAGGCAGAGGAAAGGUAAAUCCACUGCUUGAGCUAGAAGAUCCAUCUUUUCCUGCCCCUCAGACUCCUGGACUCCUGGUUCUCAAGCCUCCAGAGACUCACACCACUGGCACCCCUGGUCAUCAGCCCUUUGUGCUACUGGCUUUCCUGAGCCUUCAUUUUGCAGACUGCAAAAUGUGGGACCUAACCUCCAUCACUGCAUAAGCCAAUCCCUAUAAAUCCCCCCUCCCCAUUUCUAUCUGAGACAAGAGAUAUGCAGUUCAGGCUGGGCUUGAACUCACAGCAAUCCUUCUGCCUCAACUUCCAGAGGGCUAGAAUUACAGGAGUGCGCCACCACAUUCAGCCUUGUCCUGUAUCUCUAUGUAUCCUACUGGCUCUGAUUCUCUGGAAAGCCCUUACUAACACAGAAGUCCAUGGCACUAGUUUGGAUGAGAGAUAAUAUUUGGACAAGGGUAAUGGCUAUGGAGAUGCAGAGAAGAAGGCUGCUUUGAAACAUUUCUGAGGUAUCAAUGACAUAACUCAGUAAUGGAUUAGGUACAGAAUUGAAUGUGAGGGAUAAGCAUUAUGAUGCCCAGGUGUCUAACUCAUACCAUCAAAUGAAAGAUGGUUUCCUUCACGGAUGAAGGGAACAUUUAAGAGGACUGAGUUUAAAGGGGGAAAUACUUAUAUCUGGUUUUAGAUAUAUUUAGUUUGAAGUGUUUCUAAGACAUUUAAGUGGAGAUUUUUGGUAGGCAACUGAAGGUAGAUGUUAUUGAAGCUUUGGUGGUGAUUGAACUCCUAAAUGUGAAUGAGAUCACUUCAUAAACCAAUGGCAAUACGGGAUGCUGGUUCAGAGCAGGUGUCUGGAAAUAAAAAUGACUAAGUUUCCAGCCCAGGGUUAUAACUUUUUGUAACUGUACAAUGUACAACCAUGAAGAAAUUAUUCAGAUAUUCUAAAAC